CAGGCUUCACAUCAUCACCUCUCCAGUCAAACGAGCUUCCAAGGAAAUACUGAUUUUCUAUGUAUAUGAAAUUCUUUGCUCUUCUAAUGGCAUUAAUGUAAGCAUCUUGAAUACUUCGGUCAAUGGUGUUGUCCUUUCCACUUAUCAGCCCUGCUUUUGCUGCUUCUUCAGGCGAGUCGGGGAAACCGAAAGCUGCCCCACCAUCGAUAGACCUGAAAACUUGAACAUUCCAACUGUCGAUGUCAUCAGGGAACGUGACAGGUGAUGGAGUGAUGAAGAUCUCAUCUAAAUCCCUCAAUUUCACAAG
rnacentral:misc_RNA from 1 species